CGGGGUGCGAGGCAGGCAGUCUGCAAGCAAAUUUGAAGUGCUCUGCAAAGCACUGGAGUGGGGUUCCUCUGCUGCCAGGCCUGCGCAGCACAGUGCGGCCCUCACUCCCUGCUGCCCUGCAGCCUGCCGGGCCGCUCCAUUUGGGCACAGGGUUUAGCACAAGUGAGCAGGCAGCUCACGUGGUGAGCGGUGGGUGGCCAUGGCUGCCCUGUAUCUGCCUCCUGUUCACAUUUGCAGCAGCCGACUUCUAUGCAAGGCAGGGUCUAAAGUGGAUCCCGCUGAGUUUGGCCCAGUUUGGCUGGUGCUGUUCAGCUCAGGGACAGGAUGGAAGGAUGGAGCUGAGACUCAUAGAGCCAGCACUCCCAGCAUCCCAUUCCUGCAGUGGAUACACAGAUUACCUAUCAGUAGAGCUCCUUCUUAAGCCGGAUUGAUUGAGGCAGAAUUUGCAAUCGUUGAAUGAGAGAUGACACAGUCAUAGAAUGGCUCAGGUUGGAGGGGACGCUAAAGAUCACCCAGUUCCAGCCCACCGCCGUGGGCAGGGAUGUGGAUGGAGAACUGCUUUGUACUGUAACAGUUUCAUUUAGAAGCGAGAAGUCCUUCAUGAGGAGGUAGUGGGAGGAGGAGGUUAUUGACAAUGCCACUCCUGUCCGAAGGAAUGUGCUGGAAAGUUGCAGUGGCCUCUAGAUGGCAGCCCCAUUACUCACUCGUCAGAAAACUGAAAAUAAACGCCUUCCCUUUCAAAGCUGGACUUACAGGCAGGCCUAAAGCUUCGGGAGCUCAGACCAAAACCCGCGGGCAGUCAAGAUGACAGUGGGACCCAUCCGGCUUUGUUUUUUCCCCUUCGCCUCGCCCAAAAGGAGGAGCGAGGACUCGCUUCCCUCUGGACUCUGUAUUUGGUAAUGGGCCGGGAGCUGCCGCUGGGAGCUCGUCCUGACGUUCCUGGAGUCGUCUGGAAAGCGAGGCGGAGCCGCGGUGCUGUGCCCAGGGGUGCGCCUCGCCCCGGGUGCCGGCGGCUGUGCUGGGAGCGGGAGGUCCGCGCCGUGCUGCCGUGUGUGACCCGUGGGACGCGGGGCGGGCAGCUUCCACAGCACCAGAGCAGCGCUCUGCCAGAGCUAUUUGUAUAGUAAAUUGCUGUAUUGUUUCAAUUAAAAAAACGCAGCCGGGCAUUUAAUGGCUCCCAUCUGCGGCCACUCUGCGUAAUUCACUUCCCACUUUAAGGUUUGAAUUCUCCUUUUCUCUUGUAAUCGUGGGGACAAAAAGGGAGAGUUGAUGUCCCUAAUGUUGAUAGAUCUAUCUUCGUGCUCUCUGCUUUAAAUGAGGUUAACCGGGCUUUUGAGGGAGAAGAGUCAUAAAUAUUUCCUUGUGUGAGCGGAGAUGCUGGCACCGGGAAUCAUGGGAAUCCAUCUCAGCCAGCUAUUAACAGACUGUUAACAGACCGUCUUUCUAAUUGACUUAAAUGUUACUCAGUUGACCCCGUUUCAAUAUUUCCUGAGAACUCAUAGUCUUUACUUUUUCCAUCCUCGCAAUACCCUGGGAGCUAACUGCCGUAUUCACAGAGGGAGCUGAGGGAACCAGGUUCCAAAGGUGGUGGGGCCCUACAGGCGGGGCCUGGGGCUCACACGUCCGACCUGCGCUGACAUCCAAAGCAGUCGGGACCGCUGCUCUUCUGAAAUCCCACUGGGCUCCCUCUGGCGUCUUUAACACCUCAGUACUUACAGUACCUCUCGUAGUGGGAUUUGUGCGCGCACAGAAGGCAGGCGGCAUCCACAGGGUUUUGCCAGCAGAUUUAGUCUGAGCCUCAUCAGCAGGGGACCUGGAUAAGAAACCGUGGUCAGCUGCCUCUCAGCUCCGAGCCAGUCUUCCUCAAAGAGCGACGGUAACUUUGGAUGCCACGACUGCGUGACACGCAGCUGCAACCUUGACCUGGUAGGAUCUCCUACGGUCAGAUCCAGCAGAGAGGUAUGUGACUUCACUGUCAUGCACUAGCCUGCUCUGCCAGCUGGAUGAUUUAAGCACACCAAAACCAGAACAGCUCAAUAAAAUGGUUUCUGCGUGAACAGUUCAAUGAAAAUAUCUGCGAUUGGUUGUGGUAAAAAAUGCAAAUUAAAAACCCUUUCGGAUAUAGAAAAGAAAGACCAGAAAAUCGCCCUGUGUUGCCAGGACCGGAACAAAGCCAGGCACUUGGAAGCUGCCCCUGGAGGUGUUGGAGGAACGUGUAGUUGUGGUACUAAGGAACAUGGUUUAGUGGGCAACAGUGGUGGUAGGCGGAUGGCUGAACUGGAUGACCUUAGUGGUCUUUUCCAACCUUAAUGAUUCUAUGAUUCUGAGCAACCUGGGCAGCUGGAGAUGAGAGGAAGCAGGUUCUGGUCCUGUCUCUGCCAAAUGGUUUCUGGCUGCUCUCUUUAGUGCGUAGUUGCUAAACCUGUGCACCUGCCACGGAGGAGGUCAAUGAGAAAUCCUGGCUCUUGUUUCAGUGCCCUAGGGACACGGGAAUGUUUUUGGGGAGUUUUGUACUUGCAUCACUUGCAUCUGUGCUGUCCUUGGUAAAUGUGUUUGAGUUCCAAGGGGUUAGAGUCAGGAGUACUUGUGCUGCUUGGAAGGACAUAGUUCCUACACGGACCAGGCUCCUCUCUGCUGUUUGGAGAGCGAGACGGUGCAUGGGACAGGCGGUGUGAAGUCAGUGAGCUCGGGCUUGUUGCUAAGCCUGAGCCUUGUGUUAUCCACUCACAAAUCUAUCAGCACUUGGGAAUUCGGACUGAAGUUACGUCUGAGGCAAAUCCACACAUAUUAGAAGGUUAGAAAUAUGAUUUCGGGAUAACUCAUUGGCCUCUGCCUCUUCUCCCGUCCCACCUCUCUGCUUUGUUACUAUGAUGAGCAUCUCAUGGGGCACAUGGGAGACCAGCCUAGACUGAACUCGUUGUUGGGGACGCGGGUUUGGGAUUUGAGCAGCAGAGUGGCUGUGGUGCUCCUGGUGAGGUGGGAUUAGCCCUCACACGCUCUGCCAGCUGUCUGUCCUUCCACGCUGUUGGUCUGCUGUAGGAGGUGUGCAGUGGGAGCACAUGGGGCGUGAACACAGAGGUUCCUGCUGAGGCAGAAGAAGGUGGCGUGACCCCGAAAAAGGGAACAGGAGCUGCAACUUCCACCCUUGUGGGCUAAGAGGAACGACCACCCCUGAGGUCCCAUGAAGCUGCAGGCUGCUCCAGACCCACCCUUAUGCGGGAAGGAACACACCCUUGCCUCUGCCUGCAUGUGGCUGCAGGUUCCUCGCUGCAGCCCAGCCCUCCUGAUGAUGUGUGGCCUUCGGGUGGUGCGACACGGCGCUGCUGCGGAGUGGGCUGGCUGUGGUGGGCUUCCUCCUCGCCUUACUGCCACGUGCUGCCCCUACAAGACAACCUCCCGCCAGCUGGAAACCCAGCGCGGCCUCGUGUCCCCAAAAUAAAGAUUUUG
rnacentral:lncRNA from 1 species